CUCGCAGUAUACUUUUGUGUUUUGUUUAUUUUGAAAAUCAAAUCACAGGAUUAUACUGUGAG
rfam:Drosophila virilis strain TSC#15010-1051.87 Ctg01_14963, whole genome shotgun sequence.